CGCUGGCGGCGUGCCUAACACAUGCAAGUCGAGCGAGAUGAUGUGAGGAAGUUUUCGGAUGGAAUCACAUUAUUUAGCGGCGGACGGGUGAGUAACGCGUGAGCGACCAACCUUGCACAGGGGGAUAACGGACCGAAAGGUUCACUAAUACCGCAUGAGACCACGGUGUUGCAUGACACAGGGGUCAAAGGAGCAAUCCGGUGCAAGACGGGCUCGCGUCCGAUUAGGUAGUUGGUGGGGUAAUGGCCCACCAAGCCUAUGAUCGGUAGCCGACCUGAGAGGGUGAUCGGCCACAUUGGAACUGAGAUACGGUCCAAACUCCUACGGGAGGCAGCAGUGGGGAAUAUUGGGCCAAUGGGGGAAACCCUGACCCAGCAACGCCGCGUGAAGGAAGAAGGUUUUCGGAUUGUAAACUUCUGUCCUUGGUGAAGAGAAGAAGACGGUAGCCAAGGAGGAAGCCCCGGCUAACUACGUGCCAGCCGCCGC
rnacentral:rRNA from 1 species